rnacentral:lncRNA from 1 species
UGUGUCAAGCGAAGGAUGUUCUUCUAUUAUAGCAAUAGAUUCUAUUGUACUCACAAGCUCCCCUGAAUUUUUUGGUUUCCACCUUUCUGUUUCUUGUUGUUCUUUCGCAGCAAUGGCCUCAGUCAUUUCCUGCGUCCAUUCAGAUAAAAAAUGUUACUAUAAUAAACCGGAUCCCGGGAUAAAUCUCCAAGAUAGGAUUUUUCUUAUCGUUUGAUUUUACCUGCCCAUCGGUCGUUGUGGUGUUUGUCUCUCUGUCCACUUCUAUUUCUUUUUGAGAAAAAAAUAGUUUUGAGCUUGUCAUCAACUGCCAUCUCUGAGGCUUCGACCUCUGUAUCAGGAGCAACUUCGUCUUGACUGUGGCUUUGCACAACAUGCUCUAGUAUUUCCUAUUCUUGUAAUACCCGGGUAUGAAACAUGGUGAGUUUUGUGGUACAUUUUGUUUACACCUGUUGUAUGUGGGUAAGUUGGUUAUGGA